rnacentral:rRNA from 1 species
UCCCUGACUCCUUGAGAGUCCUGAAGGAACGUUGAAGACGACGACGUUGAUAGGCCGGGUGUGUAAGCGCAGCGAUGCGUUGAGCUAACCGGUACUAAUGAACCGUGAGGCUUAAUCUUACAACGCCGAAGCUGUU